rnacentral:rRNA from 1 species
UGGGGAAUAUUGGACAAUGGGCGAAAGCCUGAUCCAGCCAUGCCGCGUGUGUGAAGAAGGUCUUCGGAUUGUAAAGCACUUUAAGUUGGGAGGAAGGGCAUUAACCUAAUACGUUAGUGUUUUGACGUUACCGACAGAAUAAGCACCGGCUAACUCUGUGCCAGCAGCCGCGGUAAUACAGAGGGUGCAAGCGUUAAUCGGAAUUACUGGGCGUAAAGCGCGCGUAGGUGGUUUGUUAAGUUGGAUGUGAAAUCCCCGGGCUCAACCUGGGAACUGCGUUCAAAACUGACUGACUAGAGUAUGGUAGAGGGUGGUGGAAUUUCCUGUGUAGCGGUGAAAUGCGUAGAUAUAGGAAGGAACACCAGUGGCGAAGGCGACCACCUGGACUAAUACUGACACUGAGGUGCGAAAGCGUGGGGAGCAAACA